UAACUAUGGGAACCUAGCACUCUGCAACCCAAGUUACAGAUCCUCUAUGAUGGACGUUUUUGUACAGUAGAGAGUUGUGCAUGGUCGGACAACCUCCAUAUUAUUCAUCUUAGAAACGAAGGGCAUCGCAAUGGGGUUGCCAACUAUAUGGCGCUGAGAGAUUGUGCAAGAGCCCUUCAUUUUCGAGAUGAGCAAUGUGGCAGCGCUUUAUGGUGCAAACUACAAAGCAUGCAUCGUACAAGAUCUAGGAUCCCUCACCCCUAAAUAAAAAUAACAAGCAUGUUUUUAAUAGAUAAAAACAUAUUU
rnacentral:lncRNA from 1 species